AUGAACGCUGGCGGCGUGCCUAAUACAUGCAAGUCGAGCGAACAGACGAGGAGCUUGCUCCUCUGACGUUAGCGGCGGACGGGUGAGUAACACGUGGAUAACCUACCUAUAAGACUGGGAUAACUUCGGGAAACCGGAGCUAAUACCGGAUAAUAUAUUGAACCGCAUGGUUCAAUAGUGAAAGACGGUUUUGCUGUCACUUAUAGAUGGAUCCGCGCCGCAUUAGCUAGUUGGUAAGGUAACGGCUUACCAAGGCAACGAUGCGUAGCCGACCUGAGAGGGUGAUCUGCCACACUGGAACUGAGACACGGUCCAGACUCCUACGGGAGGCAGCAGUAGGGAAUCUUCCGCAAUGGGCGAAAGCUUGACGGAGCAACGCCGCGUGAGUGAUGAAGGUCUUCGGAUCGUAAAACUCUGUUAUUAGGGAAGAACAAAUGUGUAAGUAACUAUGCACGUCUUGACGGUACCUAAUCAGAAAGCCACGGCUAACUACGUG
rnacentral:rRNA from 1 species